rnacentral:rRNA from 1 species
UACGUAGGGUGCGAGCGUUGUCCGGAAUUAUUGGGCGUAAAGAGCUCGUAGGCGGCCUGUCGCGUCGGAUGUGAAAGCCCGGGGCUUAACCCCGGGUCUGCAUUCGAUACGGGCAGGCUAGAGUUCGGUAGGGGAGAUCGGAAUUCCUGGUGUAGCGGUGAAAUGCGCAGAUAUCAGGAGGAACACCGGUGGCGAAGGCGGAUCUCUGGGCCAUUACUGACGCUGAGGAGCGAAAGCGUGGGGAGCGAACAGG